UUUCCUUAUCUCCUCUCUGUUUUCUCUCGAACUCGUGCCCUAACCCAUCCUCACGCCGAUUUCUUCCCCUCUUCCUCUCAUCUGCUCGAGCGCCGCCAACUUCUCCUCUCGCGACGCCGAGCCACCGCUGUCUUCUCUUCUUCUCCGAGCAACGCCGACCAUCUCAUCGUCGACCGAUCUCCUCUUCUCGUCCACAGCUCGAUUUUGCCAGCAAUUCAUCACCGCUGACGCCGGAAUGUCACCCGAUCCUUCGCCCCUUCCUCGCGAUUUCACCACACCGCACGCUCUUAUGCGCCGGCGCCCUAGCCUGAAGCCGAGCACCCCAGGUCCAUUAGUUCUGUGCCCUAGCUGUCGGCCCGAUCCUGUCUUCCUUGCCAACUCCAAUCGUCGCUUGCCUAGUUUCCGUCGGGGAGGAAACUGCCAGCAACGAGAGCUGGUAGUGGCUUUUGGGAGGCGUCGGCCACAGACCUCUGGCACCAACUGAUUGCUAUUGCUUACUGUCGGAGAGGAAGAGAAUUGGGCAGCAGCUUCUCUAUCCGGCAGCACCCUCCCUGGCCGUGGAUCAGCAGGAGAAGUUGUGAGUUUGAAGUUGUAGAGAAUUUGAUCUUGUUGUAGAUCAUGGGAUUAUUUGUAUAUUGUAGAUGAUAGGUUCAUAUUUGGGAGAGUUUAAGUUGAUUUAGAUUUAGAUUUAAAUCUAAUUGAAUAGUGGUAUGAUCAAGGUUAAUGGGCUAACCCUAGUUGACUUAUGGAUUAUAAUUAGUGGAUUAAUCAAUAGAUCGGCUUAGUGAUUAUAUCGAAUAGGGGAUUUUAUUUAGCCAUUUAACUCGUAUGAUUUUAGCUAAAUAAAAGUUAUACAUAUGAUUGAUGCAGGACUUUGAUUCGAGACAGGUGUCUCGACGUAGGAUUUCUGGAUAUGAUCUUCUUUGAGGCGGGUACUUCUGACUUAUCUCUUGAUAUAGUCAUUUUAGAUAUGCAUAAUAGUUUAUUUCUAGUGGUAAUAAUUAUGUUUGCAUAUGCUUUGAUAUGCCACUAUUUGGUUCUUGUUGUCUGCCUAUAUCCCUAUCUGUUAUGUAUUCCUACUUAUAUUUUUCUUUGAUUGUUGCCAUGUGUAUCCCUGUUCAUAGAAAUAGUGACUUGUAUUACUACUGUGUAGCAGUCUUGUUGUUUGUCAUAUAUGAUUCGUGUACUUAGGUUUUUGAUACCUAGAUCAUUGUAUGAUUUAUUCCUUUUAGUGCAUUUUAUAUGGAGGUUAUAUUGUCAGUAUCUACAUGUUAGUGCCACGCACUAUCUUGCAUGAUUGCAUGUUGUGCGAUUGUCGGCUCCAUUAUUAUUGAGUGCAUCGCCAGUUACAUGAUCUGCACACACAACCACUCAUAGAUUAGUGGUACAUCAGGAAGGGUAUGUGCAGUUUGCUCUGUUAGGGCUCCGCUGGUCCACUCCUAAGUAGUGAUGACUACAGCGUGUAGCGGGCAGGGAUCAUUCUCCUUGACUAUGAUACAGGGAGAUAAGAGCAUUGAGUUCCCCCACUCUGUUUGGGAUAGGAGGAUAAGUGUACUCCGACAACAUCCUGUCCACUCGAUUACUCAGGAGUAGUGAUGGCAGAGUGCACAGUUGUCAUAGCCCUACCCACUCGGUCUCACUAUUGCGUGUGAGAUGACUGACUGACAUUAGGGGUGACACAUGUCAUUUUUGCAUCAUAUGUAUAAAUUGUAUUUAUUAUUUGUUAUUGCUGUAUUUUGAAUGCUGCAUUUGUUUGGGGUGCAUAUGUUUGACAUGCAUACAAGUGACAUUUUGUAUCUGGUCUGACGACCCUUUACAUUCAGAUAGGAGGUCUUGGUGAGUAUAAUUUUCUUCAACCCCUUUUCAGUUUGCAUUUCCUUUUAUUGUUCAGAAAAUUAUACCGCAUGAUUAGUACUAUUAGUUUAUAUUUUAUUAUGCAUGUCCAUCUGGUAUCCGCUGAGUUCUUGAACUCACCCCGUUGAUUAUUUUUAUUUCAGGUUAAAGUCGUCAGGAGGUUCCAAUUGUUAGUCCCCUUGCCGCAAGAACUUUUGAUUUGGUCUUUUGGUUUUUAGUUAUUUGCUUAGCGCCAUGUUUCAAACUUAUAUUGGUUUUACACUCUGACUUUUAUGUGGUUUGUCUUUAAGUAUGGUACUGGUUGAGUUUUUGCUUGAUUGGUAUAUUUCUAUUUGUUAUGUUUUGCUAUGCGCCUGUCGAUCGACAGAAUAGCUCAGUUUAGAUGUUA